UUGAUCCUGCUGUGUACGCGUAAUGCCGAUAUGUUUUGAUCCAACACUUUAACAUUGGGAGUUUUAUCUCUGUUUAUGGCGUGUAGGCCCAAUUGAGGGAAACCCAGGAAUAAACAGGCGGACACCCACCUGCUCAGGCAGGUUCAAAACAGCGGCAGUGCGGCAUGGUGGGCCGGGU
rnacentral:other from 1 species